GAUGAACGCUGGCGGCGUGCCUAAUACAUGCAAGUCGAGCGAACAGACGAGGAGCUUGCUCCUCUGACGUUAGCGGCGGACGGGUGAGUAACACGUGGAUAACCUACCUAUAAGACUGGGAUAACUUCGGGAAACCGGAGCUAAUACCGGAUAAUAUUUUGAACCGCAUGGUUCAAUAGUGAAAGACGGUCUUGCUGUCACUUAUAGAUGGAUCCGCGCUGCAUUAGCUAGUUGGUAAGGUAACGGCUUACCAAGGCAACGAUGCAUAGCCGACCUGAGAGGUGGACGGCCAACACGGGAACUGAGCCAGGGCCCAGCUCCUUACGGGAGCAAGAGGUAGGAAACUUUCGGCAAUGGGCGAAAGCCUAACGGACAAACGCGGAGGAGGGAAGAAGGUCUUCGGAUCGUAAAACUCUGUUAUUAGGGAAGAACAUAUGUGUAAGUAACUAUGCACGUCUUGACGGUACCUAAUCAGAAAGCCACGGCUAACUACGUG
rnacentral:rRNA from 1 species